UGCUGAUGUGAACACAAAUGAAUAAGCAUGAACACCGAAUGCACAGAAGUCAGCUGAGAUUCACCCCCAAUACACCUAGAAAGCUUUGGAGAGGGUCGCUGCCCUCUGUCUUCAGGAAACAAGGAUCAUCAGACCCCCACAACAACCAACAAUGCAGGCUGGUUAGACAAACAUCGUUACAGAACUACCCACCACCAAAAA
rnacentral:lncRNA from 13 species